ACAAAUUACCAUCAUCAUAUCUCU
rnacentral:sRNA from 1 species